GUAAAAAAGAAGCUUCACUUCGUUUGUUCCUGGAGGAGGAAGCAUAAGCUUUGAAGUCGUCUCCAACUCUCUGCUGGGACUCAGAGGAGGAAACAAUGUCGUUCAAAUCAGUAUUGGACUGAUAUGAAAUUAGAUUUCUUUAAACCCAUUGUAUCAGUUAUAUAGUUUUUCUAUGACCAAUUCUCAACUGAAUGAUUUUUUGUUAGCUGAUAUGAUUUUCUGUUUGUCUUAACUCUGACAGAAACAAAGAAAGAGAGAUGGAGAUGAUGAUUUGAUGGUGAAAGGAAGUUGGGUGUGCUUUCUGUCUUAUUUCAUAUUGAGGGUAGUCACCCUUCUUCAAUUGCAGUAAACCUUGAUGUAACCAUAUUGAUAUGAGAAAAUUUGGAAAACAUCACCCUUGUAUUUGACGACGGUGGAGUCUUUUUCAUAGGUCUAUUUGAAUCUGAACAAUGUACUCUCUUUUUUAGAUUCAGUGGGUAUAUUCCGGUGUCUGCAUUUGCUUUGGCAUUCUUCUUUUUGGAUGUCUCUGAAUGCAUGUAUUAGGUGGUGUUUUUGCGCUUCCAUCGUUUUUCAAGCAGAGCCAAGUAGCAUACCAUGCACAGCAAACACACACUUGCUAUACAGUGAGAAGCGGUAUGUACAGAAGCGAAAGAGCCUGAAGGAUUCAGCAAUCUGGUGACAAGAAGGAUGCGAGCGCAACUUGUAAGUUAUAGAACUGAGCAUUUGACCAGAACCUUUUAGAAUCCAGAAGAUUUGGAGUGGGAUUUCUUUGAGCUUUUGUGAUCCUAAUUUCUGGACAAUGUAAACUCUGGCUGAUCCAAAUGUACCCAAGAGCUUGCUGCAUGCAAUUUUGUCUGGGUCAACUGUAUUCUGGUGGGUGACACUGACUUAUAAUCAUAUGUUUCUCCAGCUA